ACCUGGUUGAUCCUGCCAGAGGCGACCGCUAUUGGUGUUCGAUUAAGCCAUGCGAGUCGAGAGUCUUAGGGACUCGGCAUACUGCUCAGUAACACGUGGAUAACCUGCCCUAUGCAAGGGGAUAACCUCGAGAAAUUGAGAAUAAUACCCUAUAGGUCACCAUGCCUGGAACGGUUGGUGACUAAAAGUUCAGGCGGCAUAGGAUGGGUCUGCGGCGUAUCAGGUUGUAGUGGGUGUAAUGUACCUACUAGCCAUUGACGCGUACGGGUGUUGGGAGACAUAGCCCGGAGAUGGAUUUUGAGACACGAAUCCAGACCCUACGGGGUGCAGCAGGCGCGAAAACUUCACACUGCAGGAAACUGUGAUGAGGGAACUCCAAGUGGUGCGGCAAAAUGUCGCAUCUUUUCUUAACUUUUAACAGGUUUUGGAAUAAGGGCUGGGAAAGACCGGUGCCA
rnacentral:rRNA from 1 species